rnacentral:rRNA from 1 species
AGUUUAUACCGUAGCUUGCUACACCAUAGACUGUGAGUUGCGAACGGGUGAGUAACGCGUAGGUAACCUGCCUGGUAGCGGGGGAUAACUAUUGGAAACGAUAGCUAAUACCGCAUAAUAUUAAUUAUUGCAUGAUAAUUGAUUGAAAGGUGCAAUUGCACCACUACCAGAUGGACCUGCGUUGUAUUAGCUAGUAGGUGAGGUAACGGCUCACCUAGGCGACGAUACAUAGCCGACCUGAGAGGGUGAUCGGCCACACUGGGACUGAGACACGGCCCAGACUCCUACGGGAGGCAGCAGUAGGGAAUCUUCGGCAAUGGACGAAAGUCUGACCGAGCAACGCCGCGUGAGUGAAGAAGGUUUUCGGAUCGUAAAGCUCUGUUGUAAGAGAAGAACGGGUGUGAGAGUGGAAAGUUCACACUGUGACGGUAUCUUACCAGAAAGGGACGGCUAACUACGUGCCAGCAGCCGCGGUAAUACGUAGGUCCCGAGCGUUGUCCGGAUUUAUUGGGCGUAAAGCGAGCGCAGGCGGUUAGAUAAGUCUGAAGUUAAAGGCUGUGGCUUAACCAUAGUACGCUUUGGAAACUGUUUAACUUGAGUGCAGAAGGGGAGAGUGGAAUUCCAUGUGUAGCGGUGAAAUGCGUAGAUAUAUGGAGGAACACCGGUGGCGAAAGCGGCUCUCUGGUCUGUAACUGACGCUGAGGCUCGAAAGCGUGGGGAGCGAACAGGAUUAGAUACCCUGGUAGUCCACGCCGUAAACGAUGAGUGCUAGGUGUUAGGCCCUUUCCGGGGCUUAGUGCCGCAGCUAACGCAUUAAGCACU